CUACGGGCGGCUGCAGUGGGGAAUAUUGGACAAUGGGGGAAACCCUGAUCCAGCAAUGCCGCGUGUGUGAAGAAGGCCUGCGGGUUGUAAAGCACUUUCGGUUGGGAGGACUGCUUCUAGCACUAAUAUUGUUGGAAGUUGACGUUACCUUCAGAAGAAGCACCGGCUAACUCCGUGCCAGCAGCCGCGGUGAAUACGGAGGGUGCAGGCGUUAAUCGGAAUUACUGGGCGUAAAGCGCGCGUAGGCGGCUAGAUCAGUCGGGUGUGAAAGCCCCGGGCUUAACCUGGGAACUGCAUCCGAUACUGUCUAGCUUGAGUACAGGAGAGGAGAGUGGAAUUCCACAUGUAGCGGUGAAAUGCGUAGAUAUGUGGAGGAACACCAAUGGCGAAGGCAGCUCUCUGGCCUGAUACUGACGCUGAGGUGCGAAAGCGUGGGGAGCAAACAGGAUUAGAUACCCGUGUAGUC
rnacentral:rRNA from 1 species